ACUCCUACGGGAGGCAGCAGUGGGGAAUAUUGCACAAUGGACGAAAGUCUGAUGCAGCAACGCCGCGUGGAGGAUGACACAUUUCGGUGCGUAACUCCUUUAUAUAGGAAGAUAAUGACGGUACUAUAUGAAUAAGCACCGGCUAACUCCGUGCCAGCAGCCGCGGUAAUACGGAGGGUGCAAGCGUUACUCGGAAUCACUGGGCGUAAGAGCGUGUAGGCGGGUUAAUAAGUUGGAUGUGAAAUCCUAUGGCUCAACCAUAGAACUGCAUCCAAAACUGUUAACCUAGAGUAUGGGAGAGGUAGAUGGAAUUUCUGGUGUAGGGGU
rnacentral:rRNA from 1 species